rnacentral:rRNA from 1 species
UACGUAGGUGGCAAGCGUUACUCGGAAUCACUAGGCGUAAAGCGCAGGUAGGAGGUUUAGUAAGUCUGUUGUGAAAGCUCCCGGCUUAACUGGGAGAGGUCAACGGAAACUGCUAGGUUGGAGUGCGGUAGAGGUAGCUGGAAUUCCCGGUGUAGCGGUGAAAUGCGUAGAUAUCGGGAGGAAUACCUAUGGCGAAAGCAGGCUACUGGACCGUCACUGACUCUGAUCUGCGAAAGCUAGGGGAGCAAACAGG